rnacentral:rRNA from 1 species
AGAGUUUGAUCCUGGCUCAGGAUGAACGCUAGCGACAGGCUUAACACCUGCUUCUCGAGGGGCAGCGGGAAACUAGCAUUACUUCCGCCGGCGACCGGCGCACGGGUGAUUAACACUUAUGGAACCUGCCCGUACCGGGGGGAUAAUCGGAACAAAUUCCGUCUAAUACCGCGUAAUAACUCCGAGAGGCAUCUCUUGGGGUUUAAAGGGUAACACCGGCUACGGAUGGCCAUGCGGCGCAUUAGCUAUUUGGCGGGGUAACGGCCCACCAAGGCAACGAUGCGUAGGGGUUCUGAGAGGAAGGUCCCCCACACGGGUACUGAUACACGGACCACACUCCUACAGGAGGCAGCAGUGAAGAAUAUUGCUCAAUGGGAGAGAUCCUGAACACGCCCAUCCACGAGAGGGACGACGGCCCUGUGGGUUGUAAACCUCUUUUGUCGAAGAACACACCCCGGGACUAGUCCCGGACUGCGUGUAUCCGAACAUGAACCAUCCGCUAACUCCGUGCCAGCAUCCGCGGUAAUACGGAGGAUGCGAGCGUUAUCCUGAUUUUUUGUGUUUAUACGGCGCGCAGGCGGUCCGGAAAGUCAACGGUCAACGCCCGGCGCUUCACCCCGGCGAUCCGUUGAAAUUGUCACACGAACGAUGGCCAGAAUUUCCCGGAAUGCGCGGUGUACCGGGUGACAUUCAU